GAGGUGCGGAGAGGACGGGGCCAGGCUGCACCCGGCGGUGCCCAGCAGGGGGACCGGAGGCACUGGGCACACGCUGCAGCGCAGCAGGUUUCCCCGCAGUGCUGCCACGGCCGCGCUGCUUCCCCGUUUUGGGUAAUACUACUGGAUAUAUACGGCUGGGCUAAUGAAUGUAUCGAGACCCCACUGUGGCACGCACGCUAGGAGGAGCGAUCCCCCUUGCGCCCGGCGUGUGGCACAGCGCUGAAAGAAAGACGUCUCUGCUCUCCUAACCUGACGUGGGUUCGAGAGUUUGAUUCCGCAGAUCAGUUGGGCACCCCAGAUGGGACACUCUCUGUUCGGCUGCAGGACCAGUUGAGGAGGGAGACGCCUUUGGCGCGCCCCGAGAAUUGUUGGAAGGACUCCCUCUGCUCAUCCGAUCACUGCGGGGACAGACGAGGACCAUCUGGAAGCGGACCAGGUCCUGGCAACAGAUUGCACUGAGGACCCGAUCAGAAGACCUGGAAAAUGGGGCCUUGUCAACUCCCUUGACUGCUUCUUAAAACAAGUCCUGGCAGAUGGCUGCUCAGAGCUGUAUUCUCUGCUUUAUUGAUGUGCAGAUAAAAGACUGGUGAUGUUUCUUACUGGUGCUUAAAAACAAACACUCCAAAGCCCACGGAAAGAUCACCACCUCCAACCACAAAGCUACCAGAGGAACUGUAGAGCGUAACAGCUUCUAUAGCUACUGCUAUUGGAGCACUUUGAUCUGAAGGGCCUGCAAAGACAAUCACUCAAUCUGUCAGGCCUCCCCUGCCUCAUUUCCAACCUUCCCCUCAGCGAGCAGCUUACUACCUCAGCCUUUAUUUCCUGAAAACUCCUCAGGUGUGGCACUCUGAAUCUGCAAGCUCUGGUAUUCUUGAGCAACUCCAUCCUGUAGAGGACUGGAGGGAGAGCUUUUCUUCACACCUUGCUGUGUAUGAAAUCUACGCUUGAACUGCACUCGAGACAGGCAGAAAUGUAGCUGAGCAGAGCCUCCAGCAGCUCAGCCCUUUCCUUCAAACGAUGAAGAUGGCUUUAAUAUUCGUGUUUGUAAUUGUUGGUGUAUAAUGCUCUGAUGGCAUCACAGACCACCUCCGCCGUGCUCAGGGGCUUUUCUGAGCUGCAGGCCCCACACUGCAGCCCCAUGGCACAGCCUCACAUCUGGUGUCAGACUGAAGCUGGAGACUCCUGGCAGCAGAGGAUGCUCCUGCCCCACAGAAGGGCUCACAGCUCCAAUGCAGUUCCAGUGCCCUCAGUGCUGGAGAGGAGGCGGAGGUGCACCCAGCCUUAUGCCUUGUGUGGAUCACUGUGUGAGGCCACCAGGAGAGUUACUCUGCUACUGUAACCCCUAUUUCAAGAGGGGUUAUCUCCUCUGCCAAAGAAGAUUGUAGUGGAGUGUUGGUGUUAGAAGGAGAAGACCAGCUGCAUCCUCUCUGGCCCUGGGUUUGACGGAGGGCCAGCAGAGCAGAAGUCUGCUGGAGGUGCAGUCAGGCGCUGCGGCACUGGUGGGCAGUGAGCUCCCUUCACCACCCAGGGUGCUGCUCCUGCUGCUUCUGCGAAUCGCACCACAUCUCCAGCACCAAGCGGUCCUUUCUCACCAGGGCUGGGAGCAGAUGGCAGAGCUGGAGGUGAUGGAGUUGGAUGUCCCUGCUGCUUACGCUCCAGGAGGCACUGCGGGUGCAAGCAGUACCACGUAGGUAGAGUAGAGUAGUUUAAAAAAUAAAUGUUUGGAAUGGUUUUGCACUGUCCCGCCCUGUUCCUUCAGUCUGAUGGCUACUCUUCCUAUGCCCAAGAGUGGGGGUGCCUUCAGGGAGCCUUCAUUUCCCCCAUCCCUGCCCUGUAGGUUUUGGCAAAGGUGCUGAAGGCGAAGCAGGCACUGUGUGAAGCAAGCCUGGUCCACAGGAUGACGGGAGCACGGGGUGUGCAGGGUGCAGCUGGAGCUGCAGGAAGCGCCUGGUCCCUCUGCCUGCCUGUCCUCUGUGCUGGGUGCCAUGGUGGCACAGGGCCAGCAGGCCCCUGCUGAGCUGUCAGCAGCGUGUCUGCAACUGGCACUGCCCUUCCGCUUCCCAACCUGACCACACGCAGUGCAUGCAAGGAUAGCUGUUACGAGGGCUGCUCUGAAAGUAGUGCCUUCUACUUUCUGACGGUGGCCCAUGAUGUCAGAAAUGGGUGUUGGUGGGAUGGCAGUAGACAACGUAAUGUCUCAAGGUGAUGUAGCCUGUGUUUUCGCAUGGGCAACCUUCUACUUCCAUGGGAAGGCUUUUUUCAUCAAAGGAGAACGUGAUUGAGUUGUUGAAAUGCUAGGUAUAAUCUAGUGACUAGCACUGUGAACACUUGCAAAUCAAGUGCCUUUUCUGCUAUGUUUUCUGUUUGUUGCUCAGCUUUCGUUAACAGCAGAGGUGUGAUUGUUAGCUGGUUGCAGCAGACAUUUGAGUGUUAGCAGUGACAACAUCUCGAGUCUUAGAACUGUUCUGUGGAGUUUAGCUGGCAAUUAAGUGACACAUUGUAACUUGAUAAUGCUUAGUCUUCCUUGUGUAAAGAAUAAACCUAAUGUUCAUCAAUCCAA